AGAGUUUGAUCCUGGCUCAGGACGAACGCUGGCGGCGUGCCUAAUACAUGCAAGUCGAACGAACUCUGGUAUUGAUUGGUGCUUGCAUCAUGAUUUACAUUUGAGUGAGUGGCGAACUGGUGAGUAACACGUGGGAAACCUGCCCAGAAGCGGGGGAUAACACCUGGAAACAGAUGCUAAUACCGCAUAACAACUUGGACCGCAUGGUCCGAGCUUGAAAGAUGGCUUCGGCUAUCACUUUUGGAUGGUCCCGCGGCGUAUUAGCUAGAUGGUGGGGUAACGGCUCACCAUGGCAAUGAUACGUAGCCGACCUGAGAGGGUAAUCGGCCACAUUGGGACUGAGACACGGCCCAAACUCCUACGGGAGGCAGCAGUAGGGAAUCUUCCACAAUGGACGAAAGUCUGAUGGAGCAACGCCGCGUGAGUGAAGAAGGGUUUCGGCUCGUAAAACUCUGUUGUUAAAGAAGAACAUAUCUGAGAGUAACUGUUCAGGUAUUGACGGUAUUUAACCAGAAAGCCACGGCUAACUACGUGCCAGCAGCCGCGGUAAUACGUAGGAUCAGGAUCACUUCGUCAGGAAUGAAUUUAGCAAUUGAGACGUGGUCGCUACCGUAAGUCAGUUCACUGUAAAUUUCAUCGGAUACGACCCACAAGUUAUGGCGAUGGAAACAGUCGGCGAGCGCUUUGAUUUCAUCUUCAACAUAGGUGACACCAGUGGGGUUAUUCGGGUAGUUUAACACGAUUCCCUUGAAGUUCUCGUCAGGAUGAGCAGCAAUAAAAUCGUCGACCAUCUUAGGCGUAAUGACAAAAUCGUUAACGCCUGUAUCCAUGAAGAGGGGCUUGGCGUGUGCUUCUUGAAUGAUGGGGAUGUACGCUGGAAAGAUUGGGGACGGAAUGAUAAUGGCGUCGCCAGGAUUACAGAUCGUCGUUAAUGCAGUUGCGAUAGCUUCAGUCGCUCCCACGGUCACUAAGACUUGGUCUUCAGCAUCAUAGUGGACGCCGUACUUUGUCUCUUGAAAGUGGGCGGCCGCUUGGCGUAGCUCCAACAGACCUGCCAUGCCAGUAUAGUGGGAGUAGUUGUCAUCAAUCGCCU
rnacentral:rRNA from 1 species